AAAAAGGUUCCUGAAAAUCCGCACUCUGUUUCCCCUCUUUGUUCUGUCCCGCGUCGCAACAUCCACCCGCCGGAUGGCUGACUGCAGCAACGCCGCCAGCUAGGGGAACCGAACCCGCGGCCGGCGACGGCCUCAAGCGGCUCGGCUCGGCAAGGUUUUGAGGUACAUAUGCUGGUUCGUGGAUUGACCACUGCCACUAUCAUCCCUAGUAAAAGAGCACAGAGCAGGGCCCUCUUUUCCUGGACAGAGGAACAAUAUGCUGCUUCUGGAGGAAGCAUCACGCUCCAGCCCACUAGCUCUGAUCAUCAAUUGGACAAUGGUUACUAGAUUAUAUACUUAAGGUGAACUGGACCUGACGGGCUGACGGACCUAGCUUCACUGCACAUUAUCAAGGAAUAACAUGGAACGGUAUAUACAUCACGGGUUUGUUGACGAUGACACACCGCAGUGGAUUCACUGUCUCUAUUUAUUCUGAAAGUACUAGAGUCCAAUGGCAGCCGCACAUAUUGUAUGCUAUAAUCACACCGCUGCAUUAUUUUGAAAGGGCUGCACAACUUUUAGUUAAUAGAACUUGGUGGUUCAGUUCAAAGUAAAGUAUGCAUAUAUAUAGCAUAAGGUAGCUCAGAUGGGCAGGUACACUUCAGCUUCGUUAAUAAAAACUAUUGACCGACUUGCAUCAAGAAAACGAUGGUCUCUUGUAUGAUGUUACAGGUCACCAAAUAUGCAAGUUGAGCUGGAGUGAAUACCACGUCUGUUGUCAAAUUGUGAUGUUUAUUAUGAUGAAAUCCACUACAGACUAUAGCCACAAUCAUUGAUGGCACAUAAUAACCCCCCCCCCCCCCCCCAACACACACACACACCCCUCUCCUCCCCAACUUCACCUCCAUUUGUCUCCACUGAAUUUAUUUCGCUUGGAGUCCAGCAUUGCCAUUUGAAUGUGAUUCUCUUUCAGUGCCUCCGACCUUGGCGCUCGCACUGGUGAGUGUUGCAACCGGGGUGCUCAGCCCUGUCCUUGGGAAGCUCUCCACACUGUUGGAGAACAAGUACAGCAGCCUAACGGGAGUGGGUGAUGAGAUCCUUGAAUUGCAAGAUGAGCUGAGUAGCAUGAACGCGCUGCUCCUGAAGCUGUCGGACAUUGAUGAUCUAGACAUCCAGGUGAAGGAGUGGAGGAACCAGAUCCGCGAGCUGUCAUAUGAGAUUGAGGAUUGCAUCGAUGACUUUGUCCACCGUGUCGAGCAGCGUGACCCUGAAAAGCGCAAGAAAAUGAAGGGUUUCUUCCAGGAGAGCAUUCACAAGCUCAGAACACUUGGAGCUCGCAGUGAGAUUGCCAGCAAGAUCUUGAAGCUCAAGGCCCGUGUUGAUCAUGCGAGUGAACGGCGAAAACGGUACAACUUUGAUGGGGUGCCUUCAAGCUCUAGCAUGGUGGUGCCCAUCGACCCUCGGUUACCGGCGCUUUAUGCAGAGGCAGAAAGCCUUGUGGGUAUUGAUGGACCAAGAGAUGAGCUCAUCGAGCGGUUAGCUGAAGGGGAGGCAAACUUGGUAAGAAAACUGAAGGUUGUGUCCGUUGUUGGACUUGGAGGGUUAGGCAAGACUACUCUUUCCCGUCAGGUUUAUGAUAGAAUCGGAAGACAGUUUGACUGUCGAGCAUUUGUUUCAGUAUCCCAGAAACCUGACAUGAGAAAAAUAUUGAGAAACAUACUCACCAGUGUCACAGGGAUAGAACACUAUCCAGGCAUAGAAGCAUGUGACGAGGAGCAGCUCAUCAACAAACUGAGGGGAUUCCUCAAUGACAAAAGGUACUUCGUCGUUAUUGAUGAUAUAUGGAGCACAGUAGCAUGGCCGACAAUCAGAUGUGCUUUGCUUGAAAAUAACCUCUGCAGCAGAAUAUUGACAACGACACGUAUCACUUCUGUAGCAAGGUCUUGUUGCUCUCCUGACUACAGUAAUGUUUAUGAAAUGAAACCGCUAAGUGAUAUUAAUGCCGGAAAGUUAUUUGCCAAAAGAAUAUUUGGUUCUGAAGAUCAAUGCCCAUCUCAGUUCAAAGAUCUAUCCAAUGACAUCUUGAGAAAAUGUGGUGGUCUACCGUUGGCAGUUAUUAGUAUUGCAAGCUUGCUGGCUAGUAAACCAUGCACAAAAGAACAAUGGGAGAGUUAUCGGAAUCAUAUUGGCUCGGCACUUGAAGAUGUUCCCAGUGUAAGUAACAUGCAAAAGAUUAUAUCUCUGAGUUACAAUGACCUUCCCCACUAUCUGAAGACAUGCUUACUAUAUCUUAGUAUGUUUCCAGAAGAUUUUGUAAUACCAAGGGAUCAAUUAGUAAGAAGAUGGAUAGCUGAAGGCUUCAUCAGUACAUGUGGUGGACAAAGAUUAGAGCAAGUGGGAGAGUGCUACUAUAAUGAGCUCAUAAACCGGAGCAUGAUUAUGCCUGCGACACAAGAGUGGGAUCGAAGGGCUGUGUUUUGUCGAGUACAUGAUGUGAUUCUUGAUCUCAUUGUAUCCAAGUCAGCUGAGGAAAAAUUUGUUACGGCAGUUGGUAACAAUAAUCACACGCUGGGACCACAAGAUAAAGCUUGUCGGCUAUCACUUGAUUGCCGUGAUCAAGAUAAUAUAGUAGUGUCAUCAAGUAUGGUUCUUUCCAAAGCUCGAUCAUUCAGUAUUUAUGGGUCUUCUGAACACACGCCGCUUCUUUCAGAUUUUCAAGCACUACGUGUGAUUAACAUUGAACAGAAUCGUAAGUUGGAAAAUCAUUAUUUUGAUGAUAUAGGGAGAUUGGUCCAGUUGAAAUACCUAACACUCCAAGAAGUUAACAUCAGCAAACUUCCAGAUCAAAUAGGGGAACUGCAACAACUCGAGUCACUAGAGCUAAGGUGGACAGGGAUAAAAGAAUUGCCCAAGAAUAUUGUCCGGCUGAAGAAGUUGAAAUUCUUAUAUGCUAGCAAUGUAAGACUUUUUGAAGGAAUUGGAAAUAUGCAAGCUUUGCAGGAAGUUCGUUAUGUGAAAGUUGACAGCAGCAUCCCAACAACUUCCCUUGAUGAGCUGGGCAAUUUGGCUGAAUUAAGAUAUCUGGGAAUAGAUUGGCUUGUUAGUGAUUCAUCCAGUGAUCAGAAAAGUUACACUGAUAGCUUUGUUUCAUGCAUGGAUAGACUCUGCAGAUUCAAGCUUCGGUAUCUAAAUAUUGCCUGUGAUGUUGAAAAUGGUAUAUCACUAGAUUUCUUGCUGGAUUCCUGGUCCCCUCCUCCGUGUCUUCUUGAAAAUUUUGUGAUGCGAUCAGCCUACUACUUUCCUAGAAUCCCAGAGUGGGCUUCCUUGCUCUCUAAUGUCACCUUGCUAGACAUCAACAUUAAUCCAGUUCGACCGGAAGUUCUUCAGGUCCUUGGUUGCUUGCCUUCGCUCCUAUCUCUCUCUCUAUACACAAGAGAAGUAGCCCCAGGAGCAACACUCAUCAUCUGCAGCAGCGGAUUCCAAUGUCUGGAAGAGUUUGAGUUCUACUCAUGGAAUAUUGCAAUGGGGCCACUAGUGUUUGAGGUUGGUGCCAUGCCAAAGCUUGAAAAGUUUGUUUUUAGGCUAGUGGCACGGUGCAUCGAAUCUCCAUGCGGUAAUUUUUAUCUUGGCCUCCAACACGUCCGUUCCCUCAAGCAUCUCCUUGUUGAUAUAGAUUGUCGAGGUGCAAACGCUGAGGAGGUGCAGAUCACAGAGGCAGCCAUCAAGAAUGCAACAGAUCUCACUAUCAACCAUGUACGAAUCGAUUUCAGCAGAUUGUGGAUGGACCAGAUGGCAAAAGAUGAUGAUGCGGGAGGCAUGGAAGGCAGUGAACAUAGGGGCGGUGAGGGUCCGGCAGAGAGCAGUACCAAAAUUCUAUUGCAACAGCACUUCAAAAUAUUCCCAGUGUAGGAAAACAUGGAAAUGAUGAAUUGUGAGAUUCUAGAAGCUAGAGCUUAGCCUGUCCUAUCUAUGGCUGGGCUGAGUUAACAAGGCAAAGAUGAUGUCGGACUUCAACUUGAAGAUGGAAGGGGCUGCAAUACAGGGAUGGCCAGAUCUCCCAAAUAUUGUGCUGGAGAAGGCACCACAUGUGGCAAUUGCAACCUAUACCAUUGUUUUGAAUCUGUACACAUGUAAUUGUUCAAAAUGGGGACCUAACUGGAGUGCCAUGCACCCAUGUUGUUGCCACCAUCCAAAGGGUUCAAAUAUAGGUCAGAAGGGGAUUACCUAGAGCUUCUUUCUUGAUAUGUACUCUCCAGGCAACAACCAGGACAACUGAAGAAGAGAACAAGACGCUUGGACCAACCAAAGGUUCCAUCGUGAUCAGGAAUGUAUGGCGGCCAUAAAUAGAUGACAUGAUCAUGGAGACACUUUAGCUGCAACCCUGCGAAUCAAGACGUACACUUCAGUGGCAGCUCUUCUCAGCCAACACUACCAGCUGCAGAACUUGAAAUUUCAACUAGUGGCUCACAGUCACAGCCACCAUUGUGUUCGUGGACACAAUCGUUGGAGUAGGCAUGUAUCACCAUGUCUUGCCAGCAUGAAAUGUCAUUUUGUAGGAUGACGUUAUUUUGUGUGUGUGGCAGCUAGUACUAGUAGGGUUAACUAUUUACUCAUGCAUCCGUGCUCUGGACUCUGGAGCAUUUUCUUGGCAGCUUGUGUCAAGUAACCUGUCAAAGAUGUACUUGUAGAGUAGAGACGUAUCAAAACUGUUCAUAGAUAUUGUCAUCUUAAGGUUUGUGUCAAA